GACGAACGCUGGCGGCGUGCCUAAUACAUGCAAGUAGAACGCUGAAGCGAGGAGCUUACUCUUCUUGGAUGAGUUGCGAACGGGUGAGUAACGCGUAGGUAACCUGCCUUGUAGCGGGGGAUAACUAUUGGAAACGAUAGCUAAUACCGCAUAACAAUGGAUGACACAUGUCAUUUAUUUGAAAGGGGCAAUUGCUCCACUACAAGAUGGACCUGCGUUGUAUUAGCUAGUAGGUGAGGUAAUGGCUCACCUAGGCGACGAUACAUAGCCGACCUGAGAGGGUGAGUGGCCACACUGGGACUGGGACACGGCCCAGACUCCCACGGGAAGGAGCAGGAGGGAAACUUCGGGAAUGGGGGCAAACCUGACCGAGCAACGCCGCGUGAGGGAAGAAGGUUUUCGGGUCGGAAAGCUCUGUUGUAAGGCAAGAAAGGGUGUGAGAGUGGAAAGUUCACACUGUGACGGUAGCUUAUCAGAAAGGGACGGCUAACUACGUG
rnacentral:rRNA from 1 species